GAUGAAGAACGUAGCGAAAUGCGAUAAGUAAUGUGAAUUGCAGAAUUCAGUGAAUCAUCGAAUCUUUGAACGCACAUUGCGCCCGCCAGUAUUCUGGCGGGCAUGCCUGUUCGAGCGUCAUUUCAACCAUCAAGCCCCCGGGCUUGUGUUGGGGACCUGCGGCUGCCGCAGGCCCUGAAAAGCAGUGGCGGGCUCGCUGUCACUCCGAGCGUAGUAGAUUUUAUCUCGCUCUGGGCGUGCUGCGGGUUCCGGCCGUUAAACCACCCUUUUAACCCAAGGUUGACCUCGGAUCAGGUAGGAAGACCCGCUGAACUUAAGCAUAUCAAUAAGCGGAGGA
rnacentral:misc_RNA from 1 species